GAUGAAGAACGUAGCGAAAUGCGAUAAGUAGUGUGAAUUGCAGAAUUCAGUGAAUCAUCGAAUCCUUGAACGCACAUUGCGCCCUCUGGUAUUCCGGAGGGCAUGCCUGUUCGAGCGUCAUUAAAACUACUCAAGCUAAGGUUUUACCUUCUGCUUGGUCUUGGGUUUGAGGAUUCAAAAUCCUCUCUCCGAAAUCCAGUGGCGAAUUGUUUGAGCUGUAGACGUAGUAAAUCAUUCUACCCGUUGCAAGCGAGAAUAAUAUUCAGCCAUAACCCCCAUACUUUUCUAGUUUGACCUCGGAUCAGGUAGGGAUACCCGCUGAACUUAAGCAUAUCAAUAAGCGGAGGA
rnacentral:misc_RNA from 1 species